rnacentral:tRNA from 1 species
GGCGGCGUAGCUCAGUCGGUAGAGCAAACGGCUCAUAUCCGUUGUGUCGUGGGUUCAAUCCCCUCCGCCGCUA